GAGAAUUAUUGCAAAAUGUUCUUUGAUUCUGGCGAUUAUCGACCCUUGCCUCGACCUUUAGGAUAAGAAAUUUUUCACAUUUUAUUUGGCAUUUAUUCAAAUAAGAGAUUCAUUCGAAAAAUUAAUGGGUUUAAAGAAAAAUUUCUCUGUGAAAAUUUUAAUUAAUUCAAUUUAAUGUAAAGAUUUCGAAUCUUCGAUAUUUCUGGAGAGUCGAGUCCACAAGUAGAAAGUUUAGGAGCAGGAAACCCGAAAUAUAUACGAACUUUCGGUAUAAACCGGAAUUCACGUUAUUUCAAUUCAAAUGUUUUCCCCUAAAAGGAAUUAGAUAUCACUACUCUAUUGCUAGCAGGAAAGUAUGAUUUACAGGGGCAAGCCACUACUAAUUUGAGUUGGACAGCAUAUAUUUUAAAUUAAAUAAAUUAAAAAUAUGAUUAACAUUUGAAGCCCGGCAUUCUGACCAUGUUACAAUAUAUAAUUGCUCGUUAACUUAUAGUUUAGGGCCUCUUCACACUUAAGGUCGUUAAUAUUUAAUAUAUCUUGUUCUAUAAUCAUAUAUCAAGCGCGUAUUUAGGCUUAUUGAGGCCUUAAGAUGUGAUGUGUAAAGAUCUUUUUCUUCUCUCAAAAAUAAAUUUAAAAGCACGAGGCUCUAAGGAAUGGUUUGUUUAGCUUACAGUUAGAUAGGAAAUUUUGUCAGGGAUUAUAUAAUAAUUCAUUGGGCGAGAUUGAAUGGAUAUGCGGGGUUGGUGAAUCCAAACGAUUUGGAUCAUUUUAGAUUUCGUGACAAGAAGAAAGGCUUCUUGAAGCAGGAGGAACCCGUACAAAGUAGAUUUGGAAAGUCCAUCUUCAAAAAUCAUAUUAAUCCUGCUUAUAAACAGGCUUUGAAGAGAAUUCGGCCAUUUUACCAGACCUCGUGCCAUCGUUUUAACAGUGAGCGAUUGGUUGAAGACGAGGAGGAUCGUGGACUCAAUAAUAAUGUUAUGGUUCCUCCAACAAAAAUCAGAAUAAAUAAAGGGCUCGCGAAGCACAAGGAUUGCGUGAAAAAUCCUCGUGAAUAUUCCAACAGUCGUGAAUAUGGAGAUACAAAGGCAUUCAAAACAGUCGGAUCUUUCUUCAAGGCUGUAUGGAAACCAGUCAAAAGAUUUUAGAUUCUUCGAGUUUUGACUUUCAAUUGUGUCUUCUCGAAUCUAGACUCUCCCCAAUUGUGUCCAUUCCUUACAAUCUCUAUCCUCGAUUAUUCACCGAUUUUGUCCAUUGUUGAUCAACGUUUACACUCAAUUCGUGUCCAAUUCGGCUGCGAAUUGCAUGUUUGGAAUUUCUCAAUAAUCAGCAACGUCAAAUACAACCUUAUCAAAGUCCAUUGAAUGUUUGAACACGAAAAGACAAAGAAGAGUUAAAACAGAAAAGAUAAUAAGAAUUAUUCUGAAAUUAUUUGUGAAGAACAAUUUGGUGAAUAUCAUAAAUGUAAUUACAAAGAAUCAUCAGAACAAAUGAAUUAUCUCUGUAAACAUUUUUGGUUUUUAAAUUUGAUUUUGCAUCAAAUCACUUCAAAAACACAAGAAAUUGUCAUGAAUUUUGUAUUUUAAAAUUAAAAGUAACGUUAAAUACGAUUAAACCUGUAUAUAAUUACUCAUUUUUUUAAUAAUCCGCGCGAUAGAGGCGUUAGAUUGUGCUAGGCCAUUAUUAAACACAAUAUACAGGGGUGGCCUGUCAU